rnacentral:rRNA from 1 species
GUCCACGCCGUAAACGAUGAGUGCUAGUCGCCGGAGGAUUGACCCCGUCGGUGACGAAGCUAACGCGUUAAGCACUCCGCCUGGUGAGUACGGUCGCAAGACUAAAACUCAAAGGAAUUGACGGGGGCCCCGCACAAGCGGUGGAGCAUGUGGUUUAAUUCGACGCAACGCGCAGAACCUUACCUGGGUUAAAUCCGCCAGAAUCCGGCCCAAAAGCUGGAGUGCCCUUCGGGGAAUUGGUGCGAAGGUGCUGCAUGGCUGUCGU